rnacentral:sRNA from 1 species
GUCAAGAAUCGCGCAGAGCGCUUCCCGGCAAGAGGCUUCAGCCUUUCGCAGGGAGUCAUAGGAU